UACGUAGGGCGCAAGCGUUGUCCGGAAUUAUUGGGCGUAAAGAGCUCGUAGGCGGCCUGUUACGUCUGCUGUGAAAGCCCGGGGCUUAACCUCGGGCGUGCAGUGGAUACGGGCAGGCUGGAGGCAGGCAGGGGAGAACGGAAUUCCCGGUGUAGCGGUGAAAUGCGCAGAUAUCGGGAGGAACACCAAUGGCGAAGGCAGCUCGCUGGGACGUGACUGACGCUGAGACGCGAAAGCGUGGGGAGCAAACAGG
rnacentral:rRNA from 1 species